UUUUUUUUUGGGGGGGGGCGUUGGGGUAGCCCAUGAAGGUGUUCUUGGUGGAAGUGGAUACAGGACUGCAUAGGAAUGAUUUGAAGAAAUUAGAUUCAUAUUGCUUAAGUAUGAGCUAUUGUUUCUUCUGGUGGGAUGGUCAAUAUUCAGAUGAUUCAAAGUAAAGCACUGCUGAUAUGACAGUUUUUGUGAGAACCAUACUAGGCCUUUUGUUGUGUCAAAUUGAGGAAAGAAAAUCUAAAGUAAUUGUAUCUGUUUUUGACGAUGGUCUACUAAUUGGAUGGCCUCAUAACAUCCAUUAGAGAUGGUUCCCCAGCCUAAUGCAUGGAUCAUUGGUUUGGGAGCCGGGGGUUUGUCAAAUUACCCUUCAUGCUGGUAGUCCAUCUUUAUAUAUAUAUAUAUAUAUAUAUAUUUUUUUUGAUAUCGCAGGUUUCCAUAUUUUUUUAGAUCUGCUAGAGAAUAUUUAAAGUAAUACCGUUCAUGUAGUUCAUAAAGUUUUUUGAAAAAAAGAACUGAGAAAAUUUUCCACUCCUUUAUUCCAACAUUAUGUGGAGUAGCCUAAAAUAGAGCUCGUGCUUAGUUGGCACAUUCCGCCGGUGACUGCAUCUUGGAUGGAAAUUCGUAAUUUGUUCACCAAUAGAGUAAAAAAAAAUGUAUUGAUUUUGGUCUGCUUGGUUUCAGUAGUCCAUCUGUCACAGGAUAUUGGCUUCUCUAAUUGUGAUAUACUUGAUGAUAUGGGUCAGAGAAUAGAUAAGUUGGAGCAGAGUAUCAACGAACUCAGAAACAAGGGGUCUCUCUCUCCAUUGGCCCCAACUAAAGCGAAGGCGGAAGACUCGAAACCAGCCAGUAGUUCACCAUGAUAUUAGGUGUGGUGUGCUGUGUAGUUUGUGAAUGAAAGGGCUGGACCUAUUAUACUGUUGCCUUUCUUUGCACUUCGCAGACUGGAAGACUACAACUCUCUGUUAUGCUGAGAUUACCGUCUUCUACAAAUAUCUUUAAUAACAUUACUUGAUUUUUCUAUGACAAGGUACUUUUGGAGUGAUGGAGAUGGCUGAAAAGAUAUCACCUAUUGUUCUAAGGACAGAGGAAAUAUAAGGUGCAGGAUAUGCUAUUGGAUUUCAAAGGAAGUCUGGUAGCUCCCAGCAGCAGCCAACUUGAGGCUCCAUUGAUGGUCAAUCCAAAUUUAUACUUAGGCUGGUUGCUAGUAAUGGAGUCUUGGAAUCCAACACAUGAUACUCAUACCCCACCUGAGAAUCAAUUGGGAAAUCAGCAGAGUCUAAAGCUUAAGGACAUUCGAAGGCCCGCAGUUAGGGGUCCACAGAGAGUAACCACAGUGCAAGCAUGCAACCACCUUUUGAAGAGCACAUGAGAAGAUACUUUAAUGCUGAUCGGCCUACACUUCAUUGACACACUGGUGAUUCACAAAAAGCAAUCUUGAACUCAAGGAGUACAUUGGUAAGCAUGACCUUUUAUGACUAGUUGGCAGACUGGUUGAUUAUUUCGAUUGCUUUGAUCUAUCUGAGGAAAGGAGGAAGAAACUAGCUCACACUAAGCUAGUAGGUUCAGCACGUGAGUGGUAGAGAAGCCAUGAGCAAGAGCUUGAAGAUCAUGGUAAAGCGCCGAAGCUGCCGAUUACCUAAGAGGAGAUGAAGCAAGAGCUAAGGAUUGCCACCUACUUUCAGAGCUUAACUACAGGACAAGCUAAAUUCUCUUUGUCAAGGGAAUUUGUCAGUUGCAAAGUACAUGGAGGUAGUUCACUUCUCUUUCUUCUCGUACUGGCAUUAGAAAGAAUAACGCAUAAGUACUAUCUCAGUUUCGACUGGGAUUAGGGCUGAUAUCAAUGGGGCCAUUGGUGUUACAGAUGUAAUCAACAUACAAGACUGUUUCGAGAAAGCUCUCCGUGCAAAAGAGUUAGAUGCACCCGUUUGGAUUUCAACUUGGGGAGAACAAGAAGAAUUUUCCAGCUACUAAAUCCACCACUGCAGCCCCUACAUGUGCCUCACUUCCUCCACGUUAUGAUAACAAAGAGAAGGCACCUACGACCAGUGGCAAUAGGUUUAAUGUUACAAUUGUCAAGAGAUUGGACACUUUGCAAAAGACUUGUCUAAAUAGUCAAAGAGUGAAUAUUGUUGCUGAAAUUGAAGGAACACCCUAAGAUGUAGACACCGAUCUCUUUCCAUAUCAACUUGAUGAUGGUACUUAUGGUAUUCAUAUGGUCAA